rnacentral:rRNA from 1 species
UACGAAGGGUGCAAGCGUUACUCGGAAUUACUGGGCGUAAAGCGUGCGUAGGUGGUGAGUUAAGUCUGUCGUGAAAGCCCCGGGCUCAACCUGGGAAUGGCGAUGGAUACUGGCUCGCUAGAGUGCGGUAGAGGAGAGUGGAAUUCCCGGUGUAGCAGUGAAAUGCGCAGAUAUCAGGAGGAACACCGGUGGCGAAGGCGGAUCUCUGGGCCAUUACUGACGCUGAGGAGCGAAAGCGUGGGGAGCGAACAGG